ACUCUUAACGGUAAAUGGUUUUAAAUUUAAGGUUAUUAUUACUUAUUUCGGUAACUGACACAUAAAUAUGCAAUUAGAAACGUAUUUUUAAUCCACAAGACGUUAAACCGCGUAGAUUUCGCAAAGCAUAUCAGAAUUUAUAGAUAAUUAAAGCACUUACCAGUUGAAAUUAAAGAUGUACUACUAAAUAAUUAUUAACAAAGAAGCUUUAAUGACGUAAAUAAAACACAGGAAAGCAACACGACUUCUCUCUACGAAGUCCCAACAAAGAAUACAGGAUUGCGGCCUUCCGGCCUCCGGGUACUGACCUGACCGUUCGCUUAGCAACAGAGACGGCUGACGGACACGGAGUAUAGGGUAGGCGCACAAUAUCGAAGACUGAAGUCCUUCGAGAACUCAACGCGCAUGCGCUGUUCGAAUGUUCAAACAAUGAAGAACCUGCAUGUUCGACUUUACAGAUGGUUCCUGGCCUGUUUAACUUUUCCGCAACGUUUAUUAAUCUAUUUAACGCGUGUGGGAUAUAAAUCUUCGACUGGAAAAAUCCGAAUAAUUUUUGUUUAUAAUAUUCUUUUUUGAUGUUACAGUUAAUUUAGGUAAUAUUCGUUUCAAAAUAUUUAAUUUUAUUUUAAUGCUUUCAUUGAAUUUUUUAUAGUUAUGUUUAGUAACUAUCCCAAGGAUUAAAGUUUUUUUUAAAUUUAUAUAAAUGAAUAAAUAAAUACAUAGAUAUUCAAGUUCAAAAAAAUAUUAUUUUGCGUCAAUAAUUUUGUUACUUUUGCAAUAAUGUAUUAUAAUUGAUUGCUACUGUUGGUUCUGUUUAUUCUACAUCAUCAGCACUCUAUUUUUAUAAUCGUUCAUAGGAUCACAGAUUAUCAUUCAUAACUUCUCAAUUAUACAACAAAAUUUAAACACUUCAUUUACUCGCAAAAGUAUCAAACAUUGUUAAAACGUUAAUAAUAACUUGGUGUUCAACAACUUCGUAUAAAUGGCCACUUUGAUAGGAUAAAGAGUGGUAGACUUACACUAUUUACAAGAGUCGUAGAGAAAAAAAUGGAUAGUUUUUGCUUUACGAAAAUUCCUACUAUAAUGAAUAUGAUUUUUCUAUUAUUUUAUAACCGAUACAUUUUAUAGUCUCAAAAUGAUUGUUUUUAAUAUUAUUGUUGGAAUAAUAUAAUUCCCUUUGAAAUCAUCUAUCAAUACGUGAGCAAAGAAAAUUCUUUAAAAUAAAACAAUGUAUGUAUCAAGCAAUUACAAUAUUAUCUCUCUUAAGAACUUCCAAAACAUUUCGUGAUUAUGUAUGGAUAUGAUAAAGUAUAUUAAAGUCUCAUCAGUUUCUUGUAACUUACGUAGAAUAAUUUAAUUAUUACAAGAAUAUAAAAGUGGCAUUAAAUUAAUUAAAGUAUCAGUCACUAAACUGUAAUUUCAUUGAUAUCUCUACAUUUAUACAAUUGAUAUUUAUGGUUGUGCUAAUAUUUAAUCGUUCUACAAUAAAUAAUUCUUGGCUGAAUAUUUAAAAAAAA